rfam:Xylona heveae TC161 unplaced genomic scaffold L228scaffold_1, whole genome shotgun sequence.
GUCGUGGUGUCCGAGUGGUUAAGGAGUGAGACUCGAAUUCCUUCGCUUUGCAAAGGGGCACAUCAAUUCGUUAUCUUAUGGCUUCGGCCGCGCAAGUUCGAAUCUUGUCCACGACG